UACGUAGGGUGCGAGCGUUGUCCGGAAUUAUUGGGCGUAAAGAGCUCGUAGGCGGUGUGUCACGUCGAUCGUGAAAACUUGGGGCUUAACUCUGAGCUUGCGGUCGAUACGGGCAUCACUGGAGUUCGGCAGGGGAGACUGGAAUUCCUGGUGUAGCGGUGAAAUGCGCAGAUAUCAGGAAGAACACCCGUGGCGAAGGCGGCUCUCUGGGACGGUACUGACGCUGAGACGCGAAAGCGUGGGGAGCGAACAGG
rnacentral:rRNA from 1 species